CGGACCUCCUGACGCUCGGUGGAGCCUCGUGAUAUGUGCACCCCAAAUACUGGCUGAGCUCAAGGUUCAGACCACGCUCACCCCAUACCCUUUCCCGUACACUGCUUCCACCAAAAACUUAAAAGGUCCCAGCAUGAUUUCACUUUAAUUGAAUGGUUUCGCCCCGAAACUCAAAGGCACGCUUGGUGAAUUCACAACUGCCACCAGCAGAGGAAAAGGCCUGCAGAACCUGAGGCUAUCGAUUUCCCCCGCGUCCCAGACGUGGCUGUGCCCUUGGCUGGCAUCGGAUGUGACUCACAUCCCAGCGAAACAGCAGCGCAGCCAUGCCUGGUGUUCAAACACGGCUCCACGUGAGGACUGUAAAUUGGCCUUGAAGCCACAGGUUUCCCGACAACAGGAACAUCUGCCAGGGACGUGUGGAUGGGGACCGCUGCUCUCAUUUCCACAAAGAUCAUGGAUCAGGAAGACAAAUCACCCCUAAUGGGACCUCGGGGAGAGGCUCCGUUUUUAUUUCAAGUGAAAGGACGCACACGGAGGCCAACUUGUUCUGCGGGGCCAUAAAAUGCCACCUCCGCCAGUGACAGCGGUGCUCUCCAGCAGCAGCCAGCCUCCCUUCCCUCCGAGCAACCGCAUGUGCACAAGCACAUUUGUCAGGCUUCUGGCCAUAGCUUUGACUUUAAUUUUAUUUUUAAAGUGCAUUCACAUGCAAAUUGACUUGGCCUGGGAGGAUACGUGAACACAAGAGCCCUUUCUUUCCUUUGGAGUGGCAUUAGGAGGAACAUGGUGAAAAGAGCAAAGUUUCCUCACCUCCGGGCUGCAAUUCUGCAGCUAAGGAAAAGCGUGUUCAUUGUUUUCCUCUGCACACAGAUGCUGGCUGUGCUGUUUUCAGCAGUUUCGUUCAAGCGAGCCAUUUCAGAAUAUAAAAGCUUAUUGCAUAGCCAG